AUGACUGUUUGGCUAGCCCAUGCAAGAAUUAAAUCCAUCGCAUGCAAGCCGGUGGGGAUGGACACCUGGAACCAGUCGUUCGGUGCACCCAGCAAGACCAGGUUAGUCCAUAUCCUCAAGAAUCUCCACACCGCGGAGGUCAAAAUCUACUCGGACGCGUCGAGGGAGUUCAUCCAGCUAUUGGGCGGCGAUUCUGGUGGCGAGGUGCUCCGGGACUAUGUCCAGCAGUCCCCGCGGCUCGUGGAGCUGAUGGAGGCAUGGCGGCUGCACCGGGAGAAGCCAGGGAUGGCCUACAUGCUCUCCCUGUUUGCCACUGUCCUGGGCAACCCCGGUGGCAAGUCGCGGCAGCAUGCCUUUUCUAAGAAGUGCUUGGACGCCGUUGCUAGGACGAUACUGGAGGAUAAGGACAAGGUGGGGGAUGUGCACCGUGAACUCAACAGCGGCGAGUUCCGGCGCCAGAAUGCCGCACUGGAUUUGCUUGCUGCCAUUGUCAGGCGUGGUGGGGGGUUGGCGUCAGAGGUUGCCGAGAGCUUUGAUUUCAAGAUGGCUCUUGUCACGCAACUAGCAGGGAUACAGAAGAAGAGAGGGGGCAGGGAUGGGAGGAAUCAGAAGAAAAAAGGUGCUAAUUUUGGCUCUACAAGGCGAUCACUUGUUGGGUUUGCCAUGUCGUUCCUUGAGGUUGGGAACCCCAAGCUGCUAAGAUGGGUCCUUCAACAGAGGGAGCUUUACUCAGGGGUGCUACGCGGGAUUGGAGAAGAUGAUGCUGAGACCGUUGUGUAUGUCCUCUCAACACUGCGGGAUAAUGUUUUGGUAGAGGAGUCGCUUGUCCCACCAGGGCUCCGCAGUGUCCUUUUUGGAAGUGCCACAUUGGAACAGCUGAGCUUGAUAUCGGGGAAUUUGGAUCCAGGUGAAGCAGCUGACCUUGCUCAUCAAGUGCUUGUCAUGGUCUGCACUGAUCCAAAAAAUGGAUUAAUGCCAUCCUCACAUUUGAGAGGUAACGAGAAACACUUGCUGGAUCUGAUGAAGAAGUUGCAUUCUACUGAGAGCAUUCACCACAAGAAUCUGUUGCUGGCUAUUGUGAGUAAGAGACUUUCUUUUUGCGCGGCAUACAUGAAUGAGUUCCCUUACAAUGUUGAACCACGGCCAUCCCCCUCUUGGUUUGCUGCCAUCUCCCUAGCAGCGGAUAUAAUAUCUUCAGCACAAACUGAUAGCAUAUUUCAUAGUUUCCUGUCACAUGAUCUGGUAUCCGUCGAUGAUGAACAAGUACAGGUAGUUCUGAAGUGCAUCGUGCCCCAUGUAUGCUCUCGAGCAGUGAUAAAUAGGGGAUUGCAGCAUUCUAAUGAUCUUGUGAAGCAUGGUUCUCUGAGGCUUGUUUUUGAGUCAGUGAACCUACUGUGCUAUGUUACUGAAGCAAUCAAUGGCGUGGUAUCAAGUGUGGGAUCGACAUCAGAAUUCAGUAGCUCAACUAAAGGGAAAAUCAGAAUGAACAGUUUCCCUGGAUUAAGUUGUUCCACUGCAACAGAUGCAUUCUUGGUAGAUAAACUUAACCAGGGAGACCAAAUGCGUGUCAAGAGGUGGAUAUCUCUGAGAGAAUACAUUCAAGAUGAAGUGCGCGGAGCUAUUCCUGAUCCACAGGUCCUUCUGAAGUUACUUUCUUCUGCCAGUCAGAAACACCAAAAUUGUUCUCAGAGUAGACUUGAGAGACGUGCUCAGGUUUCUGAGCCUCAAAAGAAACAGAGGUGUAAUGCUAACGAUGAUAUUAUUAUUGGUGGAAUUGAUGUUGAGUGGGCCAAAAAUCGAUCCUGCUACCACUCUGUUGAGAUAUGGGGCUUAGAUAGGCAAGAUGUGGAGAUGAAAGGUGCAGAAGUGGUAGACAGUGUUUUCCACUCGAAGUUGCUUGAUGUUCUCCGGCUCUAUUUGAGGGUAAUGCCCAGCUCAUUUGAUGGAUCAUUUGACUUCUUUAGGGUUAUACCACCUAAUCCGUUGGAUCUAUCCAAGGAUGAGCAGCACUCCUUAUUGUCACUUUUAGUUGAGUAUUCAGGGCAACACGAGGGACAUUGGGACCCAGAGAGAGUUCCAGAAUCAAUGCACAAGCAUUUGCAACCACUGAUUGACAUCAUGUUGCACUCACCAAACUUUGCGGAGAUUGAUGCAUGGUUGGUUUUCUUGCCUGGGUAUGAAGCCAAAUGGUGUGUAAGAGAGAGCCUAGGAGUUGGAGUAUCUAAUAAAUUGUCACACAUUGUGAUCCCUUUCCUCUGCGAUGCUGUUUCAUUGGUUGGGAACAAUUUGUACAAAUAUGAAGAGCACAUGCGAACGGUCAUCUCUAAAUCAGGCCAGCUUGAAGUCUAUUCUCCAGAUUUCAGUCCUCUGGUUAUUUGUGUUCUUCAGAAAUGCCUUAGGCUACUUGACUCUGAGUCUGGAGGUAUGGAAGUACGUGAGAAGUCGACAAUUUCAUUAUAUGUGUGCAACACAAUCUACCUUAUUCUGCAGUCCCAGGUAGAUGCUCAAUUAUUGCUUGACCUUAUUGGUACUGUUCUGAAUCAGAGAUUUGAUAUUUUUUCACCGGAAGAACUACAGUCUAGGAUUUAUAUUGCUGAAUGGAGGCCAUUCAUGAAUUUGUUGCAUAUCUCUAGGAGUAUCUCGGACCAACAAAAUUCUAGUUUGUUCACAGCUGUGGAACAUUCUUCUGAACUUCAUUCAAACUCUUUGUCCUCUGUGAUUAGAAAGGUUCAAGAAAUGUUAAGGCAGCAACACACUAAUUUGCCGGAUGAUGUAGCGACUGCAUUCUUAUUUUCAAUCAUGUGUGCAGCUCCACAGGACAUUAUCGGUAGCUUUCCAGAGCUUCUUGAUGUUGUGAAAACACACUUUCCUUCUCAUAUGCAAUUCUUGUCGUCAGUUCUUUAUCUGCAACAUGAUUACCUAGCUGAAAUUGCUACUUGUUGGCCGGAUAUUUUCUUCUGUAGUCUCAGACAGAUUGAGGGUAAUCUUGAUGUUGAUGAGGCCAAAUGUCAAAACCACUCAAUUUCUGCAGAAUUGACUGCAUUGAGUACAUUCCUAAAUGUGACUCCGUUCUGUGCACUCUUACCUUCAGUAUUAAGCCUUGUGUUCUCUGGGCCAGCUAAAACUGGGGAGGCACAUGCAUUGCUACUUGAUGCACUUGUCCGACUUAUUCGAGCUAAGCUUUAUGAAAGCACAAUCAGUGAGUUGACAUUUAAUCUGAGAGUCAUAUUAUUCUGGAGCCAUCGCUUGCUGUUGUCAUACACUAGGAAGGGUUCAAAUGUUCUUGAAGAACUUUGUCAUGUAUGCUCCACUCUUGUUGAUAGCAUAUUUGAGCGCAUCCGAGUUUUGGCUGCUAAUACUGCUGACUUGAAUGCUUCAGCGGAAUGUUUCCAAGAUAUUGUUGAAUCGGUUCUCCACCAUCCUACUAUUGACCUGCCACGUUCCUUAUCCAAUUGCCCAGACUUGACAGAUGGGAGUGCGGAACAUGUGGAAGAAGCAUUUACUAGUUUUUCAAAGGAAAAUCUGCACCUUGUAGAUGGUUUUGUUGUGAAUCUUCUUAGUAAACUAUAUGACCUUUUACUGUUGGCUGGUAAUGAUGGUCAGUCCUUAGAGUCGCUGUUUGCUUCCCCAAAGGUCAUGCUAGAAAAAAUACUGCUGUUGUUCAAGGAUAAAUUUGAAGUCUGCAUGGACAAUGGAAACUUUGGACUGCUUUUGCCAAAUUUCUACAUGGUUCGGGCAUUGAAAAAAUUCAUGUCCCCUGUCAGACUUCUAGAACUUGUAAAUUGGAUGUUCUCAGAGUUAGAAAGUCGUGGGUCGAGUUGUUCAGCUGCAUUUGCCCCUGCUGCUUUUGUAUGUCUAUCUGUUGCUGAUAUUGCCAUGGAAUUACUGUAUGAUUAUCUACAACAAACUGAUCAGAGAUCAGAAUCCUGUCAAUUAUGGGGCUUGGAGAUUAGAAGUUCAGAUAUUGCCACCAUUCAGCGAGUAUAUCAUUUCAUUCUCCACUUUACUGCUAAACUGAAUCUUGAAUCUGCUGAUGUUUGCUUGCUGAAGAUGUUGAUUCGUAUCCAUAAUGCAGAAAGAUCUGCAGGACAGAACGCUGAAUAUACUGCAUUCCACAUGAUGUUAUCUACCAUGGCCACCAACACUCCCCUUAGCAUUCUUCAUCACUGUAUGUUUCCCACAUCUAAGGUUAAAGCAAAAGUUUUAUGGUUGCUUUUGGAAGUAAGCCCUAUACACAUGAACUUUUUUGGCCAGAUGUUGAUGAAAGUUCUAGAAGAAGACACUUCUAUUCUGCAAGGAAUGGAUUACAAUUCUGAUUCUUCACGGGCUCAUGAGGAUAGCUCUAUACUUCUGCUGCCUGCUGCUUUGUCAUACAUGAGGCAUCACAGUGAUGGCCAUAUGCAGUGUGCUGAAUUCCUUGAGCCACUUGCAAACUUUUACUGUGAAAUGCUAUUAGGUGAUAAUGGGUUUCCAUGUUGGAAAAGUUUUAUUACUAGGAGCAUUUUUGAGGAAAAUUUUGGUGACUUUCAACAUGAAUCAGUUCAAGAUAUGAUGGAUUAUUUCAGUGACACUCUCUUGGGGAAGUCUGUUACCAUGUUGCACUACUGCUUGUCUUUAAAAGAAAUGCCCCGGAAGCAACGCUUGGAAAUAGUUGCUUCACUUUGUCCACAAUCUUCUGGCCUAUUAGAUUCUGAUGUCAAUGAUAUUAAUCCUGACUCACACAAAGGUCAUCUGAAGCUUACUAAUAAAUUGCUUGCAAAGAUAUCGUUGAUUAGGUUGUUGCUGUCUCCCCCAAGAAGAUUGUCAUCUAAUGAGACAGCAUCAGACAGGGAGUCCAAGAGAGUGAGCAAUGCUAAGCUGAAUUUCAUAAGCAUCUUGGUCAGAACUUUGGAUCAAAUACUCAGGAAUUUCCCCCGAUGUGAUGGUUUAUCCCACUCUGAUAAACAACAAAGGGUCGUCCGUUCUUUGGAAUAUACAGUUCUCAAGAAUAUUAUCGAACUGUCUUCAGAGAUUCAAACUCAUCUGAACCAAUUGAAGUCAAUACCUUUCCUUAACCAAUUCAUCAGAUCAUCUCUCUUGCACAGGUUCAAUGAUCAUGUCACACUAAAAGCAAUUCGAUGCGUUCUUGUUGUAUUAUCAGAAGGGAAGUUUCCUGCUGAUGAAAUUCUUGAGCUCAUACUGGGCCACUCCCAUUUUCUGUCGUCAAUAACCUGCAGUGAAGUUUCUGAAUAUUCAGCUGCAUUUAAUGCCACAGGGAGCCUUCUACAGCCAGCACCAGGCAUUUUAAAAUCAGUCGAUUCUCUUUUCACUAAAAAAAGCGAGUUCCAUAUUUGCAUAGCAGAAAAGAGAAAAAUAGAAAUGAUCAGAUUACUCAGGAUACUGUAUGAUAUUAAGAGUAGACAACAGAGUAAUGGCCUAUUGAAUGAAUCAAGAGAGCUAAGUUUCUUGCUUUUAUCUGUUUAUGGUGCAACUCUUAGCGAAACAGAUCUGGAGAUAUUUAAUCUUAUGAAUGAGAUAGAGUCACAUGAGUGCAAAACUAUCGCUGAAAUGGAUCAUCUAUGGGGGAGUGCAGCUAACACAGAAAGUAAUAGUAGGCGAAGGGCGGCGCUAUUUCGGGAGAACAUACCAAUUGAUUCUAAGCUCUGUGUCAUGACAGUCUUGCAAUUUUGCUACAAAAGGUCUUCAAGGACUUCUGUGUUCUCACUAGAACAGCUUCGUCAGGACAAAUUUGAUGAUAUUUUGAAGACAACAUCUCGAAGCAUCGAUAUGGUUCGGAUUUAUGAUCCUAUGUUUAUCUUGUGUUUCUUGAUUCAUACUCUUCUCAUGGGUUACAUUGAGCCUGCUGAAUUCUCUCGAGUUGGGCUGCUUGCCAUUACGCUUGUUUCCAUAUCAUCUCCUGAUGAAGAAUUGAGAAAGCUUGGUUAUGAAUCUCUAAAUACAUUCAAAAAAUCACUCGAGAACAAAUUUUGUGCCCGUAAUUUAAUUUGGAAGUCCAUUUUAUAUUAUAAAAGCAAGGAAAAAUGGCAGCUCCAGCUUCUUUUGACAUAUCUACAGAAUGGGAUAUCCAAACCAUGGCAGAGGAUACCUUCCAUUAUUGCUAUUUUUACCGCAGAAGCAUCAUUGACACUGCUGGAUAGCACGCAUACCCAGUUCAAUACCAUAAGCAAUUUUUUGAUGAAUUCAGCCUCUGUCGACAUGCAGAGCAUUCCAUUAUUUCCAACAUUAUUGAAGAGUAGUUCUGUGCAUUUCAAAGCUGAUCGAUUGUGGAUGCUUCGCUUAUUAUACGCUGGAUCAAAUCUAGCUGAUGAUGCUACGAUAUGCAAGAACAAAAGUGUUUUAGAGCUUGCUCUUGCCUUUUGUUCUUCAGCUAUUUCAGAUUCUGAAUCGAAGCAUUUAAUCCUUCAGGUGCUAAAGAAGUGUGCGAAGCUGCCAGUUCUAGCUCAGCAUUUAGUAAAAACUUGUGGCCUUCUGUCGUGGAUAUCCUCUGUUAUUUCAACUCAGGACAAAGGACUGGACAACAACUCUAGUUCCAGAAUAGCUGGGUUAGCAUUGGAGGUACUCAAUGCUUUGAUCUUAUCAAGAUUCAUCACGGAAUGGCUCCAAGAAACUGCACUUGAGCAACUAUCAGAAAUAUCUAAAUGUCUGUAUCUGCUAGUUGAAGAUGGAAAAUUAUUGAAAGGGGAUAUCACCAUGUUGAGUUCAAUUCUAAAUGUUAUUGCAUGUACAAUGAGGUUGUCUAUGAAAAGGAAGAUAUACCAACCGCAUUUUACCUUGUCCCUCCAUGGCAUAUUUAAGUUGUGCCAAGCUAUUGAUGGCAAUUCAAGAAGUAUCGAACUUAAGCCAUCAAUGGAGCUUGGUACUGAUGUCGAUAAGUCAAGAAGUGUGAUGGUUGUUUCAUGGGUAACUUCCAAUAUCUUCUGGUUGUGUAAACAAAAGUCUGCAGCGGAAAUGUCAUGUGAAGAGCCACUAAACAAUGAGUGUCUACUAUCAAAGAUAUUGCGUUGGUUAGUGGCUUCUGUAAUCCUUGGCAGAAUCUCCCGCAUCUCUCCUGAAAAGAGGGGAGGUCUUGCCACGAGCACAAAUAGUCCCGGAACUCUUCAGUCUUUCUUGAACCAUUCAUCUGAAACCUUUGAAAUGGCGGAUAGUCACGUUGCGGAUGAGGCGCUGGCUGCCAUUAUACUUUACCUACAAGGUCACGUGAAAAAGAAGAUUGAUACUUUGCCGUCGGUUGUGACGGCUCUUAGCUUGUUACUUGUUGACAGAUGCAGCGAACAAGUUUUGGUUGAUAGCCGCGGACAAAUCGAAACGCUUUGCUCGAAGAUACAUUGCCCCGCCGAAUCUAAUCCCGCAUGGAGAUGGCAUUAUUAUCUACCUUGGAGAGAUCCUGCCUUGCAGCACACUGCGACAGAGCGCAUGGAAGUAGAGCAGUCAUGCCGAAGCCUGUUGAUCAUGUUUUCUAAUGCCCUGAGCGCUGCUGGGUUGCCGGCAGGUAUCCCGGUGUUGUCUGUUGGUGACAUUGACAAGUCUGGGCUGUUCCAGUGGGAAAGAGACUCCGUGGUUGAGCAGCCUCACGCGUAG
rnacentral:rRNA from 1 species